rnacentral:rRNA from 1 species
UACGUAGGGGGCAAGCGUUGUUCGGAAUUACUGGGCGUAAAGGGUUCGUAGGUGGCCAACUAAGUCAGACGUGAAAUCCCUCAGCUUAACUGGGGAACUGCGUCUGAUACUGGUUGGCUUGAGUGCAGGAGAGGAACGCGGAAUUCCAGGUGUAGCGGUGAAAUGCGUAGAUAUCUGGAGGAACACCGGUGGCGAAGGCGGCGUUCUGGACUGCAACUGACACUGAGGAACGAAAGCCAGGGGAGCAAACGGG